AGCCCAGAGAGCUUGCUCUCGGGUGACGAGCGGCGGACGGGUGAGUAAUGUUUGGGAAACUGCCUGAUGGAGGGGGAUAACUACUGGAAACGGUAGCUAAUUCCGCAUAAAGUCGCAAGACCAAAGUGGGGGACCUUCGGGCCUCAUGCCAUCAGAUGUGCCCAGAUGGGAUUAGCUGGUAGGUGGGGUAACGGCUCACCUAGGCGACGAUCCCUAGCUGGUUUGAGAGGAUGACCAGCCCCCCUGGAAAUGAGACACGGUCCCGACUCCUACGGGAGGCAGCAGUGGGGAAUAUUGCCCAAUGGGCGCAAGCCUGAUGCAGCCAUGCCGCGUGUGUGAAGAAGGCCUUCGGGUUGUAAAGCACUUUCAGCGGGGAGGAAGGCGGUGAGGUUAAUAACCUCACCGAUUGACGUUACCAGGGGAAGAAGCCCCGGCUAACUCCGUG
rnacentral:rRNA from 1 species